CCGUGGUGGGGAACACAGCAUCUCGACACACACACCUGUACUGUGUGUGGCAGGUGUUGAUUAGCCUUACCUGGAGUGAGUUAUUGUGAGUAACCAGCUUCUGAGGUGUGAGUGACCAGCCUCUGAGGAGUGAGUGACCAGCUACUGUAAAGAUUUCCGUGAGUUAUCAGCCUUUGAAGAUCUUAAGAGUGACACCGCUAAUUCACGUAAAAAACACAAAUGAAAAUCAAAUAAUUUACAUAUUUACGUGGACAAAAUCUUACUGUAAUAAAAAGGUGUAAAAAAAAGUGAAAAAAGUUAAUGAUAAAAAAACGAUAACAAUGAAUCCGGAUUUAUGCUAUCGUAGGGAUAUCUUGAUGGGGUUACACCUAACCUGCCAAGAGAGAUGAUAUAAAACAUGCUAUUAACGUGAUAUAAGACCUGUGUGUGUGUCAGGGCGCCAUCAUGCAGACGGCCUACGCGCGUAUGGUCUAUGAUCGCCACCAACACAGGAUACAGCGGCGAGAGGGAAGCGCUGUUGGGGAAGGGAGGAGGACCACCUUGAACUUAAAACACCUUCUUCAGGAUUUGUGUCGACGCUUGAUUGCUUUCCUCUUUACGCAGGUUGGUGUAUGUGGACUGGUCGUCGCGUACAACAUCGUCGGCGCCUUCGCCUUCAGGGCUAUUGAAGGAGAUUUCGGAGACGCUGGACCUGAGGAAACGGCCUUACAGCUCCGGGAGGAUAUGGUCAGACGCCUUUGGAAUGUCACCCUACGACUGAACAUCCUGGAGGAGGCCCAGUGGAGGGAUGCGGUGGUAGACGCCCUUCAGGAGUACCAAGGUCAUAUGGUGCCCUUAAUCAAGACCAGAGGCUACAGAGGUAUUCAUCCCCGUCAGGCUUGGUCCUUCAGCGCCUCCCUCAUGUAUUCUCUAAGCGUCUACACUACUAUAGGCUACGGGAACAUGACGCCACGGACAGAUUGGGGUAAACUUGCCACCAUCUUAUACGCCAUCGUGGGCAUGCCUCUAAUGCUCCUCUAUAUGUCAAACGUUGGGGAGAUUUUGGCUCAAGUCUUCAAAUUUGUUUAUUUCCGGGCCUGCAGGUGUGACAUCGGCUCUCUGGGUUACUACAGGUCAGGUAGCGGCACCAUUAGACCCGUAACAGCUGCCAACAACCGUCAUAACAAGCAGGAGCAGCAGCAGAAGGGGGAGAAGCAGGCAAGACGUACCAUCCCUAUCACCUACUGUCUUCUCGUCAUCGCCAUCUACGUGUUGUGUGGCGGGAUAAUCUUCUCACAGUGGGAGGAAUGGGUGUUGCUGGAUGCUUGCUACUUCGCUUACAUCUCCCUCAGCACUAUUGGCUUCGGUGAUUUGGUUCCCGGGAGGACGGUGGCUGGACGUGACGAUAACGAGGAAGUGGAGACUCAGCAAAUCAUCUGUACUGUUUAUCUUCUGGUGGGGAGCGCCCUUGUGGCUAUGUGUUUCAAUCUCAUGCAGGAGGAGACGAUCGAGAACCUGAAGGCCUUCUGGAGGAAACUGGGAUGCCUGAGGAAGGAGAAGAGGAGUAAGACGAGAGAAGACAUUGAAAGGUUGUCUAGUAUCGGGGGAUGAUGAUGGGAGGUGAUAGGACCCCAAUGAGAGGGACUUGUUGCAUCGUCAGGAAGGUGUUAUGGGGAGUUGAAAUACAUCGUCAGGAAGGUGUUGCAUCGUCAGGAAGGUGUUGCAUCGUCAGGAAGGUGUUGCAUCGUCAGGAAGGUGUUGCAUCGUCAGGAAGGUGUUGCACCGUCAGGACGGUGUUGUUGUGGGCUCUCCUCCUCCCGCCUUUCAGAAUACAUCUCCGUGUGUCUUGACUCCAAUCAUACAGCGGGAUCCUGGAGGCUGUACCGAGAGCAGUCAUCCAUCACCCACUGACUGCCUGAGUUAAGGAAAUUCUAGUGUAACUGUUCCAAUAGUUCCACACUUACUGACUGUCAUGUUGAGGUGUGUGAUAGUCUGACAGAACAAUUGACUGUAUAAAACAAGGAACAAUAUAACUGGAGGUUGGCUUCAUCUUGUACUGUUAUCAGCGACUGUAACCAAAACAGUUUCUGUAUCAACAUAACUGUUAUCUGGGUCAUUACGGGAUACAGUCAGUAAACACCAGUCACCAGUUUUCCGUGAUCGUAGGGAAACUUGUGUGUGUAUACCAAUUCGUGUGUGUAUCAACGUUAUGUGUACAGCCAAUCAGUUCUAAAGAGACUUAGUGUAUGUGAGAAAAGUGACUUAUAGUGAGUAUACUGAAGAGACUAAUAGUGUACAUUACCCAUCAGAAUCAUUUUACCUGUAUGCAAAUUAGCCAUCAGAAAGAUUCAAUUACUUCACCUGUAUGCAAAGGUAUCAAUAAA
rnacentral:misc_RNA from 1 species